rnacentral:rRNA from 1 species
GAUGAACGCUGGCGGCGUGCCUAAUACAUGCAAGUCGAGCGAACAGACGAUGAGCUUGCUCCUCUGACGUUAGCGGCGGACGGGUGAGUAACACGUGGAUAACCUACCUAUAAGACUGGGAUAACUUCGGGAAACCGGAGCUAAUACCGGAUAAUAUAUUGAACCGCAUGGUUCAAUAGUGAAAUACGGUUUUGCUGUCACUUAUAGAUGGAUCCGCGCCGCAUUAGCUAGUUGGUAAGGUAACGGCUUACCAAGGCAACGAUGCGUAGCCGACCUGAGAGGGGGAUAGGCCACACUAGAACUGAGACACGGACAAGACUACUACGGGAGGGAGCAGUAGGGAAUCUUACGCAAUGGGCGAAAGCUUGACGGAGCAACGCGAAGUGAGUGAUGAAGGUCUUCGGAGCGUAAAACUCUGUUAUUAGGGAAGAACAAAUGUGUAAGUAACUAUGCACGUCUUGACGGUAACUAAUCAGAAAGCAACGGCUAACUACGUG